rnacentral:lncRNA from 1 species
UAUGAAGGAGCUAUCUAAGCUUUGUUUGGGUGGCACUGCAAUUAAGGAGCUGCCUGCUUCUAUUUUAAAUCUCACCAGUCUUGUUACUUUGAAGUUGAAUGAUUGCAGAGAACUUGAGAGUCUUCCAAGCAGCAUUUUCAACAUGAAAUCUCUUAAAUACCUUGAUGUUUCUGGAUGCUCAAAGCUUGAGAAGUUUCCAGAAAUUUCAGAGGUUAUGAAUCUGUCUAGCCUUUAUUUGGAUGGGACUGCAAUUAAGGAGCUGCCUACUUCUAUUUUAAAUCUCACCAGUCUUGUUACUUUGAAGUUGAAUGAUUGCAGAGAACUUGAGAGUCUUCCAAGCAGCAUUUCUCACAUGAAAUCUCUUAAAUACCUUUAUGUUUCUGGAUGCUCAAAGCUUGAGAAGUUUCCAGAAAUUUCAGAGGUUAUGAAGGAGCUAUCUAUUCUUUGUUUGGGUGGCAAUGCAAUUAAGGAGCUGCCUGCUUCUAUUUUAAAUCUCACCAGUCGUUAUACUUUGAAGCUGAAUGAAUGCAGAGAACUUGAGAGUCUUCCAAGCAGCAUUUCUCACAUGAAAUCUCUUAUAUACCUUGAUGUUUCUGGAUGCUCAAAGCUUGAGAAGUUUCCAGAAAUUUUGGAGGUUAUGAACGAGCUAUCUACGCUUUGUUUGGGUGGCAAUGCAAUUAAGGAGCUGCCUGCUUCUAUUUUAAAUCUCACCAGUCUUGUUACUUUGAAGUUGAAUGAUUGCAGAGAACUUGAGAGUCUUCCAAGCAGCAUUUCUCACAUGAAAUCUCUUAAAUACCUUUAUGUUUCUGGAUGCUCAAAGCUUGAGAAGUUUCCAGAAAUUUCAGAAGUUAUGAAGAAGCUAUCUGAGCUUUGUUUGGAUGACACUGCAAUUAAGGAGCUGCCUGCUUCUAUUUUAAAUCUCACCAGUCUUGUUAUUUUGAUGUUGAAUGAUUGCAGAGAACUUGAGAGUCUUCCAAGCAGCAUUUUUCACAUGAAAUCUAUUAAAUAC